CGCCUCUUGAAUCUCAUAAGAGGUCCAGCCUGCCCAGUGACACAAUUAAACGGCCGCGGUACCCUGACCGUGCGAAGGUAGCAUAAUCACUUGUUCUCUAAAUAAGGACUUGUAUCAACGGCAUCACGAGGGUUAUACUGUCUCCUCUUUUUAAUCAGUGAAACUGACUUUCCCGUGAAGAGGCGGGAAUAGAAAUACAAGACGAGAAGACCCCAUGGAGCUUUAAACCCAAUAGUAACCUCUAUUUACUAUUACUACUUAAUCAAGAAGGUCUACCUACUGGUUUUAGGUUGGGGUGACCCUGGAGUAAAACUAAGCCUCCAUGACGAAUAGAAUUAUUCUAAUCCCAGAGCCACUGCUCUACGAAUCAAAAUUUUGACGUAAACUGAUCCGCCUAGCGAUCAACGAACCAAGUUACCCUGGGGAUAACAGCGCAAUCCAUUUCAAGAGCCCCUAUCGACAAAUGGGUUUACGACCUCGAUGUUGGAUCAGGGUAUCCCAGUGGUGCAGCCGCUACUAAAGGUUUGUUUGUUCAACAAUUAAAACCCU
rnacentral:rRNA from 1 species